rnacentral:rRNA from 1 species
UACGGGGGGGGCAAGCGUUGUUCGGAAUUACUGGGCGUAAAGGGUCUGUAGGUGGCCAACUAAGUCAGACGUGAAAUCCCUCAGCUUAACUGGGGAACUGCGUCUGAUACUGGAUGGCUCGAGUGUGGGAGAGGAAUGCGGAAUUCCCAGUGUAGCAGUGAAAUGCGUAGAUAUUGGGAAGAACACCCGUGGCGAAGGCGGCUUACUGGACCAAAACUGACGCUGAGGCGCGAAAGCGUGGGGAGCAAACAGG